ACUCCUACUGGAGGCAGCAGUGGGGAAUUUUGCGCAAUGGGCGAAAGCCUGACGCAGCAACGCCGCGUGAGUGAUGAAGGCUUUCGGGUCGUAAAGCUCUGUCUAGAGGGAAGAAGUGUUUUGUGGUUAAUACCCACAUUACUUGACGGUACCUCUGAAGGAAGCACCGGCUAACUCCGUGCCAGCAGCCGCGGUAAUAC
rnacentral:rRNA from 1 species